rnacentral:snRNA from 1 species
GUGCUCGCUUCGGCAGCACAUAUACUAGAAUACGAUA